GAUGAAGAACGCAGCGAAAUGCGAUACGUAAUGUGAAUUGCAGAAUUCAGUGAAUCAUCGAGUCUUUGAACGCACAUUGCGCCCCCUGGUAUUCCGGGGGGCAUGCCUGUCCGAGCGUCAUUGCUGCCUCAAGCCCGGCUUGUGUGUUGGGUCUCGUCCCCCUUCCCGGGGGGACGGGCCCGAAAGGCAGCGGCGGCACCGCGUCCGGUCCUCGAGCGUAUGGGGCUUUGUCACCCGCUCUGUAGGCCCGGCCGGCGCUUGCCGAUCAACCAAAACUUUUUUCCAGGUUGACCUCGGAUCAGGUAGGGAUACCCGCUGAACUUAAGCAUAUCAAUAAGCGGAGGA
rnacentral:misc_RNA from 1 species